rnacentral:rRNA from 1 species
GGUUAAGCGACUAAGCGUACACGGUGGAUGCCCUGGCAGUCAGAGGCGAUGAAGGGCGUGCUAAUCUGCGAUAAGCGCCGGUAAGGUGAUAUGAACCGUUAUAACCGGCGAUACCCGAAUGGGGAAACCCAGUGUGAUUCGUCACACUAUCAUUACGUGAAUACAUAGCGUAAUGAAGCGAACCGGGGGAACUGAAACAUCUAAGUACCCCGAGGAAAAGAAAUCAACCGAGAUUCCCCCAGUAGCGGCGAGCGAACGGGGAGGAGCCCAGAGCCUGAAUCAGCAUGUGUGUUAGUGGAAGCGUCUGGAAAGGCGCGCGAUACAGGGUGACAGCCCCGUACACAAAAGCGCAUGUGUUGUGAGCUCGAUGAGUAGGGCGGGACACGUGGUAUCCUGUCUGAAUAUGGGGGGACCAUCCUCCAAGGCUAAAUACUCCUGACUGACCGAUAGUGAACCAGUACCGUGAGGGAAAGGCGAAAAGAACCCCGGCGAGGGGAGUGAAAAAGAACCUGAAACCGUGUACGUACAAGCAGUGGGAGCACCCUUUGGGGUGUGACUGCGUACCUUUUGUAUAAUGGGUCAGCGACUUAUAUUCUGUAGCAAGGUUAACCGAAUAGGGGAGCCGGAGGGAAACCGAGUCUUAAUUGGGCGUUAAGUUGCAGGGUAUAGACCCGAAACCCGGUGAUCUAGCCAUGGGCAGGUUGAAGGUUGGGUAACACUAACUGGAGGACCGAACCGACUAAUGUUGAAAAAUUAGCGGAUGACCUGUGGCUGGGGGUGAAAGGCCAAUCAAACCGGGAGAUAGCUGGUUCUCCCCGAAAGCUAUUUAGGUAGCGCCUCGUGAAUUCAUCUCCGGGGGUAGAGCACUGUUUCGGCUAGGGGGCCAUCCCGGCUUACCAACCCGAUGCAAACUGCGAAUACCGGAGAAUGUUAUCACGGGAGACACACGGCGGGUGCUAACGUCCGUCGUGAAGAGGGAAACAACCCAGACCGCCAGCUAAGGUCCCAAAGUCAUAGUUAAGUGGGAAACGAUGUGGGAAGGCCCAGACAGCCAGGAUGUUGGCUUAGAAGCAGCCAUCAUUUAAAGAAAGCGUAAUAGCUCACUGGUCGAGUCGGCCUGCGCGGAAGAUGUAACGGGGCUAAACUAUGCACCGAAGCUGCGGCAGCGACACU